rnacentral:rRNA from 1 species
AGCGAACGCUGGCGGCAGGCCUAACACAUGCAAGUCGAACGAACCUUUCGGGGUUAGUGGCGGACGGGUGAGUAACACGUGGGAACGUGCCUUUAGGUUCGGAAUAACUCAGGGAAACUUGUGCUAAUACCGAAUGUGCCCUUCGGGGGAAAGAUUAAUCGCCUUUAGAGCGGCCCGCGUCUGAUUAGCUAGUUGGUUGAGGUAAUGGCUCACCAAGGCGACGAUCAGUAGCUGGUCUGAGAGGAUGACCAGCCACAUUGGGACUGAGACACGGCCCAAACUCCUACGGGAGGCAGCAGUGGGGAAUCUUGCGCAAUGGGCGAAAGCCUGACGCAGCCAUGCCGCGUGAAUGAUGAAGGUCUUAGGAUUGUAAAAUUCUUUCACCGGGGACGAUAAUGACGGUACCCGGAGAAGAAGCCCCGGCUAACUUCGUG